rnacentral:misc_RNA from 1 species
GAUGAAGAACGUAGCGAAAUGCGAUAAGUAGUGUGAAUUGCAGAAUUCCGUGAAUCAUCGAAUCUUUGAACGCACAUUGCGCCUUCUGGUAUUCCGGAAGGCAUGCCUGUUCGAGAGUCAUUAACAACCGUUUCGAUCCCUUUCUUUCAGAAAUUACAAAGAGGAAAAGGGUUUGGUUAUGGUGGAGGAGGGAAAGGGAGCGUUUAGCCUGUAAAAAAAGAGGCUGUGUUCCGCCUCCCCCCCAAAAUUGUACAGGCGGUCGUGUGCGCCCACGCAUCGAGGUGUUGUAAAAGCUGCCACGGCACUUUUCACCUGUGCAGUGCGAGAUUGGCCAGCCGGUUUAAAAACCCCUCCAAACAAUCAAAGGUUGACCUCGGAUCAGAUAGGGAUACCCGCUGAACUUAAGCAUAUCAAUAAGCGGAGGA